UUGUUGUACUUGUAUACAGAUUAAAUUUAAAUCUUUGCUGCAAGUUAUGCUGACAGAAUCAUGAACUGCGUCCUCCGCAACAAUGAUCAAUGAUGACAUCAUUAGUUCAUGGCUUGUGCCACCAUCUGAAGAAGAUGGGUGCUUUGGUGUUGAUGCAUUUGCGGGUGUCCCGCAAACGAUGAACCCAAAUGCUGCGCAGUCAGUAAAUCCCGGGGUAAAUGGUAUACCACAUGCAGCAGGUGUCGACCCAGAACCAGGUGUUGGUGAAGGAGUUAUUGCUUCGGGAGGAGGUAACAUGACCGCAGCUGAUGCUGCGGCUCGUGGGGCUGGGAACCCUGUAGGGAUGAACAUAACAUAUGAUGCUGUGGAAGAAUGUGAGUACCAAGCUGAUUUGUAGAUGCCGGUGGUCCUUCACGGGGAUCUCGUGGCGAAGGUGGCACUGGCUCAUCGGUUCGAGAAGUUUUAGGCAGCUCUAGCCUUGGAGUGCCAUCAUUUACUGUGACAGGAUUUGCAUUUGGAGUUGGGAUGUCAGUACGUGUGAAGGCUGAAAUUGGUGAUAACUUCCCUGGCACUUAUGGACCAAGUCAUGAGGAACCACUCGCAAGCCUGGUGCUGAAUUUCGUUGGACACAUGAUGAAUUGCAGUCCAAGGGAACUAGACAGGAAAUGGUUUAAGCACACAAGACCUACGCGUUGAUCUGAAUGGGUGGGACUUCAAGAUAGGGUUUGGACCUGCUGGCAGAAUAACUUUUAUCGGCUGGUCCACGGUGCACAGGAUGGUGAAGUAGCUUGAGUUCAAGAUAUAUGGAUAUUCUCCGAUAUGCUGGCGGCACAUCUUCGACCCUAGAUUUGCGUUGAUGAUGCUGCCGGAAUUCAUGGAGAGCUGGGCAUUGUAUAUUUUUGAUCCUGAGAAUAAGCAUAUGUUGGUUAUGGAUCCAGCCACAACCUUUGAUGGCGCAGACGUGAUGUGUGCUAAGCACGAGACAAAUGCUAAGAAAGUGUUGUAUGGCCUAGCCCGUUGAA